UUCCAUCAGCUGUGAAUCUAAUUCCAUGUGAAGUUAUAAAUAUGAGUGAUUGAAAUUGCAAUUGCUCACCCAAACAUCCCCCAACUGCCAAUCCUCUCUAUUUUUCAGUCUUAGAAGCUAAGAAAGAUGGCAUCAGUGAAAGCUGAGAAACCUGUGGGCUCUCAGGUGUUGUUUGGGCAGCCCAAGAAAGAGCCCGUCAAGACGGGCGGCGAUGGUGGGGCCAAAGCUCCGGCCAAGAAGGCCGCCCCGAAGAAGGCCGAGCCGAAGCCGCGAGAAGCCAAGAAAAAGGGAAAAGGUGGCAAACCAGCUGCGAAGAACUAACAAGAAUAGAUGCGCGCAGCUCUUAUGUUAUACCCUUUCUCGUCUUUUUUUUCUUUUUUUCUUUUUUUGAAUUUUGUGUGGGUGUUUUGUCUUUUAUGAUUUUCAUGCAAUGUUGCUUGUUUAGUGGGGAAUUAAUGAAAAAUAAAAGUAUGCAUUAAGGAUGA